rfam:Bilophila wadsworthia 3_1_6 genomic scaffold acCls-supercont2.1, whole genome shotgun sequence.
UGGGCUAUCGUUCAAUUGGCAGGACGACGGAUUCUGGUCCCGUUAAUCGUGGUUCAAGUCCACGUAGCCCAG